UCCCUGGUGGCUCAGACAGUAAAGAAUUUGCCUGCAAUGCAGGAGACCCAGGUUCAAUCCCUGGGUUGGGAA
rnacentral:tRNA from 1 species